rnacentral:lncRNA from 1 species
AAACCCGCCCAGCGCGCGGCACCAUGGGAGUGCUCUACGGCGCAGCCGCCUUUAAACUCCGCUCUUGCCGGUGAAAAUUUUACUGGGCAGGGACUGGAGGACUGCAUAUGCUCGGGAUUGCCUGGGAAACCAGGGAGGAAUGAACUACACGGAGAUCCCUAGAACAGGAUCCGGUCCUGCUUUCUGCUCCUCGGCUGGGGCGUGCUCAUGUGGUUCACCUGCGCCUCCUCCAGGGGCUUCUCCUAACUGUUAAGAUCUAACACCUUCCUCCACCCGACCGGCUUUCUAGAACUGAAACUCCGGGCCAAGGGGUAGCUUGCGAGUGCACCGCCUCCGCGGUGGAUCGCCCUCUCCCCGGCUAACCUAAAUAAACCCAAAACUGAGCAAGCUCAGCAGGCAGAUGCACCUUCACGGCGCAACGGACCGACCUCCUCUGUGGCACUAGCUGCUCCCAGCCCCUGAGAUGUAACUCAGCCCUUCGCCUGAACAACCCAGGGGCCAGCAGCAUCUGCAGCACCUGGGAGUUCCCUAAGAAGGCAAAGGAGGGGCGUGGGUUCAGGAUUACAAGUUAGAGAUCAGCCUCAGCUACCGCUCCACUAAUCCCAAAGGAAAGAAACUUCCCAGGCAUGACCUGCGGGUCAAACAAGACCUUCAGAUGAUUCCUAUGCACUGUGAUAUAACAAGAUGUAGAACUCUCAGCUCCUUCUCCAGUACCAUACCUGCCUGGAUGCUGCCAUGCUUCCUGCUAUAAUAAUGGACUGAACCUCUUAACCUCACACUGUUUUAUGAGACAAGGCAACAAAGAUUCCAAUUGGCAGUGCAGCUACUCAAAUAGCUGCCUCUGCCAAAAAACCCUCCCAUGUGAGACCUGCUGCAUGGUGUGAUUUGUCUGGGACUGCCCCGCCUAUUCUAACACUUAGUCUCUAUGGAUCUCAAUACUCUCAACAGUAAACAAGAAUAACAACAG